rnacentral:lncRNA from 1 species
AUAGUAGAAGAGCAACGAAAUCCCCGUUUGAAAAUUUCUGAAUGUAAACAUAUUCAUCUGCGGCAGUUUUCUUGUACCCUUGACUCACCAUGCACGAGUCAAACUUGUUGUACCACUGUCUUGGUGCCUGCUUCAAAUCGUACAAACUUUUCUUUAGCUUGCACACGAGGUUAUAUCCUGAAACCUCAAAACCUUCGGGCUACUGCAUAUAGAUUUCUUCUUUUAAAUCUCCAUGAAGAAACACUGUCUUCACAUCCAUCUGUUCAAGCUCCAAGUUCAUACUUGCAACCAAUCCAAGUAUGGUUCUGAUUGAAGUCAUCUUGACUACGGGUGUCUUUACAUCCAUUUGUUCAAGCUCCAAGUUCAUACUUGCGACCAAUCCAAGUACUACUCUGAUUGAAGUCAUCUUGACUACGGGUGAAAAAAUCUCAUUAAAGUUGAUUCCCUUCUUCUGCUGGAAUCCUUUGACUACCAACCGUGCUUUGUAUUUCACCCCUUUUCCACUGCCAUCUUUCUUCAGCUUGAACACCCAUUUAUUUUUCAGUGCCUUCUUCCC